rnacentral:rRNA from 1 species
GUACUGUGGGGGAAUAAUUAAAUAGAAAAAGACUAUAUAAAAAAUAUUACCUUUUGUAUCAGGGUAGAUUUAUAUUAUUAUAAAUUAGAAAAUUUCGAAAUUAUUUGAGCUAAAAAUUAGUUAAUUAUUUGUAUCAAAAAUAAAAAUUACUUAUUUCUAGAGGUGAAAGUUCUGACGAAAAUAAUUAUAUCUAAUUAAAAAUGAAAUAUUAAAGUUUUUUUUUAUAAAAAAUAAAAUUAAUUGGGUAAGCUAAUUAAUACUAAAUAUAAUAUGAUAUAUAAAAUAUACUAGGCUUUAAAUUAGCCAUGGUUAUAGUUUUUAUUAAAUAAUUUUUUAAAGAAGAGCCAAAAUUUAAAAUUAAUUUUUUAUUUUUUUAAAUAAGACAAAACAAAGGAAAAUGAUUUAAUUAGUAUUUUUGUUUGAUUAAUUACAUGAACUAGAUUAAAUUUAGUCUGUUUAACAAAAACAUUUUUUUCUGUAAAAUAGAAAAUAUAACCUGCCCGGUGAGUUAAUUUAACGGCUGCGGUAUGUUGACCGUGCUAAGGUAGCAUAAUAAAUUGUUCCUUAAUUGGGAACUGGAAUGAAGGGUUGAACUAUUUUUGAAUUUGUUAUAUUUAAAUAAGUGAAUUUUUAUUAUAAGUAAAAAUACUUAUAUUUUAUAAAGGGACGAUAAGACCCUAGAAGCUUUAAUUUUAAAAAUAUAAGGUAUUCAUAUUUAUAAUUUAUAUUUUAAAAAAAUUUUGAUUGGGGAAAUAUAAAUUAAUAAAAUAAUUUAUUUUAAAAGUGUUAUAUAUAUAUAUUUAAUGAUCUUUUAAAUAAGAAUAAAAGGAUUAGUUACUCUAGGGAUAACAGCACGAUAAUUUUGGAUAGAUCAUAUAUAUAAAAUUGAUUGUGACCUCGAUGUUGAAUUAAAAUAUUCUUUAUAAAGCAGAAGUUAUAAAAGAAGGUUUGUUCAACCUUUAAUAUUUUACAUGAUUUGAGUUCAGACCGGUUUAAGCCAGGUCGGUUUCUAUCUUUUAUAAAUAUCAAAUUAUUUUAGUACGAAAGGACCAAUUAAUUUUAAUAGUU